GAGGCUCUUGUAUGCAAUGGAAGGAGUUAGGAUUUCUUUUUUUUUUUUUUAAUAGCAGGUAGAAGGUGGUGAUCUUGAGUGAUUUUAAAGCCACGUGAUUUGAUUUCCAUAAGUGGAUGUUAGAAGGCCAAGGAAGGGAAGCCUGGGGGCAGGGAAGCCAGUUCAAGGAACUGGAGGAGCUGGCAGAAUCCAAGGAGGCAAAAUCUCAGAUGUCACUGAGGACUUCUUUUGGCCUUGGCCACGAAAGCAAUGUGUCAGAGAAGCAACGCUCUGAUGGCCACGCUGGGCGACUCCAUCAUCCUCUUAGCUACUUGAUGCCGCCUCUGUGCGUUUGGUUGCAGCGUUGAUAUCACAGCCAUCAUGAUUCAGCACAAGGAGAGAGAAAUGCUAGAGCUGGAUGAAUAGAGAAGAAGAAACAUCAGCUAUGUGGAUUUCCUAAAACAUUUUCCCCUGAGUUGAACUUCACAUCUCUUCUUGCUCAGCAUAGAAUGAAUCAAUCCUCCUGAAAGGCAGCCUGGAGAAAGGGAGUGUGACACGUGAGAAGGGUCUCAUUGGACCCGCUCUCCCAAAUGCACCCAUCAGCUGAGUCUUCUCCUUCCAUGAAGAAGAGCACGAAAAAGGAGAGGAUGCUGAUUCUUUUAGGGUAAGAAUUUCUUUUCAUAAAAAGAACCCAGAGGAGUGGGAGGUAAGUGGACCCCAUUAGAAAUAUUUUGAUUUAAUCCCAUAGGGGAUUCCUGAGUCAAAGGGUGAAUGUAAUUUUAUGGCAUGGUGACCAAAUUUCUUUCCAAGAGAGCUGUACAUCUGUAUACUCCUACCAACCAUGAAUGAACACUGCCCAAAUUUCAGACUAGUCAAAUUGCAUAAAUACCUGGACAGGUGUACUUAACAUAAUUGUAUUUCAAUAAUAAGACCACUGAGCAGAAAUUGUUGACCAUUUCCUGGAGAGCUUGCCAGAACCCAACCAAUCAAAAUGGGUGUUAGCAUCAUUAUACAGAGCGUUGGGGGCUGCCUGAACUGAAUCAGGUACCAGUUGGAAAGCAUGAAAUUACUGACUUUGUUUAAAUCUAACUGCAAUUUAUCUGUAAGAACAGUACUGAAAGGUGACAUUUGUCUUGGUGAGUUUCCCAUUCAUUUCCGGAGCUGGAGUUCAUCAGUCAUGCAGCUCAAGUGCAUGAUACAUGCAGAUGAAUAUUUAUUAUAGAUGAUGGAGUAUCCUUCUGGCAACAUAAUACACUUCAUUCACUUGGAAAGGGAAUUCAAACAGAUCCAUGAUAGACUGCUGGAACUGGAGGGGCCUUUCACCUCCCUUCAGGAGAGAUCGGUGGAGAAUCUGCUGUUUUGGUGAAGAGAGAGUCCACUUGGUUAGUGUUCACAUGUGAACUGUUUUUAAAGCAUUCUGACUGGUUAAAUUUAGUUAAAUACAUCCUAUUGAAAGAUAGUUACUAUCUCAAAAAUAAUUCAUUGAGUGGAUGGAAAAUCCGGCUAUACACCUGAAUUCAGCCAAUAGAUUGAAGCAUAUUGGCUGUUUGAAUGCCACCCGACUGUUUGAAUUUGUUUAGGCUCAUAGGUGAAGACACAGAUUUGGCCUAAUUCACAGAGUCUCUAGGCACUAGAAGAGGAUCUUAAAAUAAAACUUGCAUUUCCGACAUUGAUCUGACACUUGAGGUUAAGUGCUUCUUUCUUAGGAAAUGCAAGAUCAAAGACAAUGAAAUGACAGAAAAAAAAAUAUAUACUCAGAGCAUCAUUCUUUUUUUCUUUUUAGUUUAGAAGCCACUCCUCAUCCCAGGAGAGCUGAGCAGCAAAAUUACGAGAAAAAUAGCUUCCUUGUGCCCAUUAAGCUGUCUUUUGUUUUCUUUUGAUGACCAAUGAGAAUCUUGUUCAUUAAAAUUGUAUGGAUGCC
ensembl:lincRNA